rnacentral:rRNA from 1 species
CGGGGGGGGGGGCAAGCGUUGUUCGGAAUUACUGGGCGUAAAGGGCGCGCAGGCGGCCUGGCAAGUCCUACGUGAAAUCCCACAGCUUAACUGUGGAACUGCGUGGGAUACUGCCAGGCUUGAGUCCGGGAGAGGAGAGUGGAAUUCCCAGUGUAGCGGUGAAAUGCGUAGAUAUUGGGAGGAACACCGGUGGCGAAGGCGGCUCUCUGGACCGGUACUGACGCUGAGGCGCGAAAGCUAGGGGAGCAAACGGGAUUAGAUACCCCGGUAGUCCUAGCCGUAAACUUUGAGCACUUUGUGUGGCGGGUAUCGACCCCUGCCGUGCAGAAGCUAACGCAUUAAGUGCUCCGCCUGGGGAGUACGGUCGCAAAGGCUG